rnacentral:rRNA from 1 species
GGAGGUUAGUGCAAUGGCAUAAGCUAGCUUGACUGCGAGCGUGACGGCGCGAGCAGGUGCGAAAGCAGGUCAUAGUGAUCCGGUGGUUCUGAAUGGAAGGGCCAUCGCUCAACGGAUAAAAGGUACUCCGGGGAUAACAGGCUGAUACCGCCCAAGAGUUCAUAUCGACGGCGGUGUUUGGCACCUCGAUGUCGGCUCAUCACAUCCUGGGGCUGAAGUAGGUCCCAAGGGUAUGGCUGUUCGCCAUUUAAAGUGGUACGCGAGCUGGGUUUAGAACGUCGUGAGACAGUUCGGUCCCUAUCUGCCGUGGGCGCUGGAGAAUUGAGGGGGGCUGCUCCUAGUACGAGAGGACCGGAGUGGACGCAUCACUGGUGUU